rnacentral:rRNA from 1 species
GAUGAACGCUAGCGGGAGGCUUAACACAUGCAAGUCGAGGGGCAGCACGAGGUAGCAAUACUUUGGUGGCGACCGGCGCACGGGUGAGUAACGCGUAUGCAUCCCACCCUGUACAGGGGGAUAACCCGGAGAAAUUCGGACUAAUACCCCAUAAAGAUAUUUAGAGGCAUCUUUGAAUAUUUAAAGUUCCGGCGGUACGGGAUGGGCAUGCGUAACAUUAGCUAGUUGGUAAGGUAACGGCUUACCAAGGCAACGAUGUUUAGGGGUCCUGAGAGGGUGGUCCCCCACACUGGGACCGAGACACGGACCAGACUCCUACGGGAGGCAGCAGUGAGGAAUAUUGGUCAAUGGGCGCAAGCCUGAACCAGCCAUCCCGCGUGAAGGAAGAAUGCGCUGUGCGUUGUAAACUUCUUUUCCAGGGGAAUAAAAUUUUGUACGUGUACGGAAUUGAAGGUACCCUGGGAAUAAGCAUCGGCUAACUCCGUGCCAGCCGCCGCAGUAAAAC